UGCAGUCGAGCGAAGCUUUCGGGCUUAGCGGCGGACGGGUGAGUAACGCGUGGGAACGUGCCCUUUGGUACGGAAUAGUCCUGGGAAACUGGGUUUAAUACCGUAUAUUCUCUACGGAGGAAAGAUUUAUCGCCAAAGGAUCGGCCCGCGUUGGAUUAGGUAGUUGGUGGGGUAAUGGCCUACCAAGCCGACGAUCCAUAGCUGGUUUGAGAGGAUGAUCAGCCACACUGGGACUGAGACACGGCCCAGACUCCUACGGGAGGCAGCAGUGGGGAAUCUUAGACAAUGGGGGCAACCCUGAUCUAGCCAUGCCGCGUGAUCGAUGAAGGCCUUAGGGUUGUAAAGAUCUUUCGCUGGGGAAGAUAAUGACGGUACCCAGUAAAGAAGCCCCGGCUAACUCCGUGCCAGCAGCCGCGGUAAUACGGAGGGGGCUAGCGUUGUUCGGAAUUACUGGGCGUAAAGCGCGCGUAGGCGGAUUGGAAAGUUGGGGGUGAAAUCCCGGGGCUCAACCCCGGAACUGCCUCCAAAACUAUCAGUCUGGAGUUCGAGAGAGGUGAGUGGAAUUGCGAGUGUAGAGGUGAAAUUCGUAGAUAUUCGCAGGAACACCAGUGGCGAAGGCGGCUCACUGGCUCGAUACUGACGCUGAGGGUGCGAAGUGUGGGGAGCAAACAGGAUUAGAUACCCUGGUAGUCCACACCGUA
rnacentral:rRNA from 1 species